UAGUGCUGAUGUUUAAAGUUGAAGACAGUAUAUAAUUCAUCAAGAACAGUGGAAUCCAGAAUUAAGCCUCAAAUGUGACUGAUUUACUAUAGAACAAAGAACACGAAAAUUCACCAGGCCGUCACCAAGAGGAGAAAUUUGAAAAAUGGGAACUGGUUAAUGGAUAUGGAUGAAACUUUGCAUCAGUGUUGUGUUUAUGCAUAGAAAUCAGGAAAAUAAAGGAAAACUGACAGACCAUGCAGUUACCAAAGCCGGGUUUUGAGUACAGGACCUUACCUUAUACUGGUUAAGAUCUAUGGAAGAACUCUUUCAGCUCAGUUUGGCAACAGAUUUGUCAGGACAAGUUGAGAAGGAACUCAUUUGUUGGCGGAAGGAUUAAAGAUGUACCACCCACCAGCAGUCAGGAGUUUUCAAAGUGGUGAAUUUAAACUGUGUUACAACAGAGUGAAGAUUUCUGAAAAAAAGUAGAUGGCUAACCUAUUAUAUUUUGGGCCUCAUUUGACUUAAAUAGUGCUGAUGUUUAAAGUUGAAGACAGUAAAUAAUUCAUCAAGAACAGUGGAAUCCAGAAUUAAGCCUCAAAUGUGACUGAUUUACUAUAGAACAAAGAACACGAAAAUUCACAAGGCCG